rnacentral:rRNA from 1 species
GAAUCUUGCGCAAUGGGCGAAAGCCUGACGCAGCCAUGCCGCGUGAAUGAUGAAGGUCUUAGGAUUGUAAAAUUCUUUCUCCGGGGACGAUAAUGACGGUACCCGGAGAAGAAGCCCCGGCUAACUUCGUCCCAGCAGCCGCGGUAAUACGAAGGGGGCUAGCGUGGCUCGGAAUGACUGGGCGUAAAGGGCGCGUAGGCGGAUCGUUAGGUCAGAGGUGAAAUCCCGGAGCUCAACUUCGGAAUUGCCGUUGAUACUGGCGAUCUUGAGUGUGAGAGAGGUAUGUGGAACUCCGAGUGUAGAGGUGAAAUUCGUAGAUAGUCGGAGGAACACCAGUGGCGAAGGCGGCUCACUGGCUCGAUACUGACGCUGAGGUGCGAAAGCGUGGGGAGCAAACAG